CGAGGCCGAUAGGCGUAGGCGAUGGACAACAGGUAGAGAUUCCUGUACCAGUGCUAAUUGUUUAACCGAUGGGGUGACACAGAAGGAUAGGGAAUCGCACGAAUGGAAAUGUGCGUCCAAGCAGUGAGUGUGAGAAGUAGGCAAAUCCGCUUCUCGCGAAGCAUGAGCUGUGAUGGGGAAGGAAAUUAAGUACGGAAGUUCCUGAUUUCACGCUGUCAAGAAAAGCCUCUAGGAAGAGUAGUACUGCCCGUACCGCAAACCGACACAGGUAGAUGAGGAGAGAAUCCUAAGGUGAGCGAGAGAACUCUCGUUAAGGAACUCGGCAAAAUGACCCCGUAACUUCGGGAGAAGGGGUGCUCUAUUAGGGUGCAAGCCCGAGAGAGCCGCAGUGAAUAGGCCCAGGCGACUGUUUAGCAAAAACACAGGUCUCUGCAAAACCGUAAGGUGACGUAUAGGGGCUGACGCCUGCCC
rnacentral:rRNA from 1 species